UGGGGAUACUUGCGCACGGCAGGGUUGUUAUUUCAAAUACAACACUUUGAAUGACUCCCACCCGGGCUGGACAUAAAUACAUAUUUGAAUUAUCGUUUCACAGUUAAAAUUUUGCACUUGCGGCAAUCAAACCAACUUGUGAUCUCGGUGAGCUUUGAAAAGACUCAAAAAUAUGAGCAAUCGUGUCGUAAAAACUUCCAAAAAAGGAAGCCAGACCCGAAAAACAAUUACGAGCACUAAGAAAUCAAUUAAAAAGACAAAGACGGGUACCAUCGAAACCGUUGAAAAGAAAGUAACUGUAGU